rnacentral:lncRNA from 1 species
AAAAUCUGUUUGUUGUUCAUUUGUUUUUCUCCCCAUAGAGAACAAGGUGAGUGGAGGUAUCUUCAAUGAGAAGAAAGGCCUGAGCUCCCAUUCUCCUGUUACAAACACACCAUGUCAAAUAUUUUUCGAGUCAAUAUGUUUUAAUAAGUGCUCUUUAUUUAUUGGGGCUACAAUACUACAGUUGAAAUUGUUUGCAGACUUCAUUGAUUUUGACUGGAGGUCCCUGGAAGGCAUGGUGGUUCCUGCCUCAGCAGAAACUUGUGUGGCAAUAGGAGUGGAGGCCAGAGAGUCCUUAGGUCAGUCCCAAAUUCCCUGGGAAAAAAAGGGUUAACUGUCCCUGCAUUGAAUUAACUGUGGGGAUAAAACAUUUGUGAAUACCAUGUACACACAUAAAAUUGCCCCUAAACAAAUUAUUCUGGAGAUACGUUAUUCUAGCAAAUGGUCAUUCGCACAACGCACACAGCACAGCUGUCCUUUCUGGGUUCGUAUGAUUCAGAAGGUCCCAGCUGAAUCGUGACAGCAGGUGCAUAAGUGGCCUCGAGCUUUUUCCUCAUUAUUUCCAGCAAACCCCGUCUCUGUCUACUUACCUCCUUCCUUAACAGCCUUUUCCUAACCAAUUCUUUCUGCUCCCCUAGAAAUAUUACAUUCUGCAAAUGCGAAAGGAAAAGAAAUGGGUAUCUGCUCAGUGCCGAUUUCAGAGAGUAUCUACAAAGCUUUUCUCUUUUGCACAGAUACUGCACUGAAGACUCGGAGGGGUUGAGCCGCUGGAGCCACGCAAAUUCAGACACCUCUUCCGCCCCAGGUCACUCUACUCGCCCACGCUGCCUGCCACACCCAUCCGGUUGUGCGGGACACUCCCCGCGUUUCUUCAGCGAUUCUUAUCGGGCUCCCUCCUUGUUCAAUAAAGGUGUCAUUUCUGAGCAGGGAAGGUGUGAUCUGGGGCCAGAAUGAAUGGCCCUGGUGACUUCUUACCUGAUUCAUCCCACACCAGUCAGAAGGGGCUGUGAAGGCAGCAGCGAAGGAGCCACACAUGGACGUGGAAUGGGCACGCUGACCAUCAUGGUCACGACUGCAAGAAAGCAGGGCUGCGUGGGUUAAUUGGCUGUGUCUGAGGGUCACCCCUGCACAAGGAGGAUGAUGACGACUGCCCUGUGCAACCCUGGGUCAUCUCAGGGGAGAGCCAUUCCCAGGUUCACAGCAAGCACUCUUUUACUCAGAUGGGCCACCUGCAUCAGGCCCCAAGGAAGCACUUAUUAGUAGAAGAAAAAAAACAAAAACCCAGAAAACAGCCAGUGAGACUAUUUUACAAACAAGCGAAGAGCAGCAACUGAAAGCAACAAUAACUACAACAUAAAUCCCUCUGCAAAUAUUUGGGAUUUCAUUUCCACUAAGGAUAAUGAUGGCGUAGAAGGCAUGUCUGUGGGAGUUAUGCACACAGGGAAAAAGGUGGUGAAAAUAAUCAACCAAAAAUAACAAAAUUCAAUUAAUCAAAACAGAACAAAAUAAAAUGAGCCAAACAGCAUAUCUGAAUAUAAGCAUAAUAAUUGUCGUUGGACAAACCUUUGUCAAAUCAAAUUGGCUUCUAGCACACGGGCUGAUACUUUGUGAUUCAAGUGGUGUUCUACCCACAUAAUUCAUUUAGUUGCAAAGAAUGUAACAAAUAAUGCAAUUAUUCCAGAGGAUCACGGUGAGACAUCUAUUUGGUGGUGCCUUAAGCAGAGUGCCCUGAUUCAGAAGAAUUAGACCAAUCUCUGGAUUCACAGCCACUCAUGAAAACUGUAGGCCGGGCACGGUGGCUCAUGCCUGUAAUCCCAGCACUUUGGGAGGCCAAGGCGGGUGGAUCACGAGGUCAGGUGAUCGAGACCAUCCUGGCUAACAUGGUGAAACCCCGUCUCUACCAAAAAUACAAAAAGAAAUUAGCUGGGAGUGGUGGCGGGCACCUGUAGUCCCAGCUACUCGGGAGGCUGAGGCAGGAGAAUCGCUUGAACCCAGGAGGUGGAGGUUGCCGUGAGCCGAGAUCACGCUACUGCACUCCAAUCUGGGUGACCGAGCAAUACUCCGUCUAAAAAAAAAAAGUAAUAAUAAUAAUAAAAUAGGAAACUGCAGUAACUCGGGACAUCUGGGUUCCUUGUCUUUUGUCAAAAUCACAGGGAAUUCAACUCACUGAAUCUAUUGGUCAAUUCAAUUCCGCCAUUGGUCAGUAUGACUCGGCUUUUGACAGAGAGUUUUACCCAAAGACUUGCAGAACUUCCUUCCUGCAAGAUUUCAGAAGCACAGCAAGCAUUGCAAGAGGAAACUACCUUAUAAAUCAUACAAACCCAGCAUCGUGUUCUUUGCUUGUCCUUGCCUGAAUUUACUGGAAAAUCAUGUUGUGAAACCUAAAUGCAAAUGAACCUUUCUUAUUGCAAAUUAAAAACUAAAUCCAUUUUCAACUGAAUUCAAUGGGAAAAACAAGAAUUAUUUUCCUAAAAAGUAAAUAUCCACCACUCCGUAAUAAUUGUGAUCCGCUGUGGCUUAUGUGUCGUGUCUCAGGACAUGGACUCGGUCCUCUGCAUACCUUACCUCUCAUCCUGCAAUAAUCCUGAACAGGUUCCCAUUAUCCCCAUUUUAGAGGAUUACAGCACAAUUUGUAGCUGGAGUGCUUCUGAAUUGCGAGAAAGCCCU